AUUCCAGCUCCAAUAGCGUAUAUUUAAGUUGUUGCAGUUAAAAAGCUCGUAGUUGGAUUUCGGGUGUCAUCUGCCGGUCCGCCGUUUCGGUGUGCACUGGCGGGCGUCAUCUUUCUGUCGAGGACGCGCUCCUGUCCUUUAUUGGUCGGGACGCGGAGUCGGCGAGGUUACUUUGAAAAAAUUAGAGUGUUCAAAGCGGGCUUACGCUUGAAUAUAUUAGCAUGGAAUAACACUAUAGGACUCCUGUCCUAUUUUGUUGGUCUUCGGGACGGGAGUAAUGAUUAAGAGGAACAGUUGGGGGCAUUCGUAUUUCAUUGUCAGAGGUGAAAUUCUUGGAUUUAUGAAAGACGAACUUCUGCGAAAGCAUUUGCCAAGGAUGUUUUCAUCA
rnacentral:rRNA from 1 species